rnacentral:rRNA from 1 species
AACGAACGCUGGCUGCAGGCCUAACACAUGCAAGUCGAACGAGACCUUCGGGUCUAGUUGCUUACGGGUGCGUAACGCGUGGGAAUCUGCCCUUGGGUUCGGAAUAACAGUUGGAAACGACUGCUAAUACCGGAUGAUGACGUAAGACCAAAGAUUUAUCGCCCAGGGAUGAGCCCGCGUAGGAUUAGCUAGUUGGUGGGGUAAAGGCCUACCAGGGCGACGUUACUUAGCUGGUCUGAGAGGAUGAUCAGCCACACUGGGACUGAGACACGCCCCAGACUCCUACGGGAGGCAGCAGUGGGGAAUAUUGGACAAUGGGCGAAAGCGUGAUACAGCAAUGCCGCGUGAGUGAUGAAGGCCUUAGGGUUGUAAAGCUCUUUUACCCGGGAUGAUAAUGACAGUACCGGGAGAAUAAGCCCCGGCUAACUCCGUG